UACAGAGGUCUCAAGCGUUGUUCGGAUUCAUUGGGCGUAAAGGGUGCGUAGGCGGCGCCGUAAGUGGGGUGUGAAAUCUCGGGGCUUAACUCCGAAACUGCAUUCCAUACUGCGGUGCUUGAGGACUGGAGAGGAGACUGGAAUUUACGGUGUAGCAGUGAAAUGCGUAGAGAUCGUAAGGAAGACCAGUGGCGAAGGCGGGUCUCUGGACAGUUCCUGACACUGAGGCACGAAGGCCAGGGGAGCAAACGGG
rnacentral:rRNA from 1 species